rfam:Trichobilharzia regenti genome assembly, scaffold: TRE_scaffold0044103
UUAUUGCUGAAGAGUCCCAAACUAGGACGAAACAGCUGUCCAGUAC